rnacentral:rRNA from 1 species
GCCGCAGCGAAAGCGAGUCUGAAUAGGGCGUUGAGUAUUUGGUCGUAGACCCGAAACCAGGUGAUCUACCCUUGGUCAGGUUGAAGUUCAGGUAACACUGAAUGGAGGACCGAACCGACUUACGUUGAAAAGUGAGCGGAUGAACUGAGGGUAGCGGAGAAAUUCCAAUCGAACUUGGAGAUAGCUGGUUCUCUCCGAAAUAGCUUUAGGGCUAGCCUCAAGUGAUGAUUAUUGGAGGUAGAGCACUGUUUGGACGAGGGGCCCCUCUCGGGUUACCGAAUUCAGACAAACUCCGAAUGCCAAUUAAUUUAACUUGGGAGUCAGAACAUGGGUGAUAAGGUCCGUGUUCGAAAGGGAAACAGCCCAGACCACCAGCUAAGGUCCCAAAAUAUAUGUUAAGUGGAAAAGGAUGUGGCGUUGCCCAGACAACUAGGAUGUUGGCUUAGAAGCAGCCAUCAUUUAAAGAGUGCGUAAUAGCUCACUAGUCGAGUGACACUGCGCCGAAAAUGUACCGGGGCUAAACAUAUUACCGAAGCUGUGGAUUGUCCUUUGGACAAUGGUAGGAGAGCGUUCUAAGGGCGUCGAAGCAUGAUCGCAAGGACAUGUGGAGCGCUUAGAAGUGAGAAUGCCGGUGUGAGUAGCGAAAGACGGGUGAGAAUCCCGUCCACCGAUUGACUAAGGUUUCCAGAGGAAGGCUCGUCCGCUCUGGGUUAGUCGGGUCCUAAGCUGAGGCCGACAGGCGUAGGCGAUGGAUAACAGGUUGAUAUUCCUGUACCACCUAGUAUCGUUUUAAUCGAUGGGGGGACGCAGUAGGAUAGGCGAAGCGUGCUGUUGGAGUGCACGUCCAAGCAGUAAGGCUGAGUGUUAGGCAAAUCCGGCACUCAUAAGGCUGAGCUGUGAUGGGGAGAGGAAAUUGUUUCCUCGAGUCGUUGAUUUCACACUGCCGAGAAAAGCCUCUAGAUAGAUAACAGGUGCCCGUACCGCAAACCGACACAGGUAGUCAAGAUGAGAAUUCUAAGGUGAGCGAGCGAACUCUCGUUAAGGAACUCGGCAAAAUGACCCCGUAACUUCGGGAGAAGGGGUGCUCUUUAGGGUUCACGCCCAGAAGAGCCGCAGUGAAUAGGCCCAAGCGACUGUUUAUCAAAAACACAGGUCUCUGCUAAACCGUAAGGUGAUGUAUAGGGGCUGACGCCUGCCCGGUGCUGGAAGGUUAAGAGGAGUGGUUAGCUUCUGCGAAGCUACGAAUCGAAGCCCCAGUAAACGGCGGCCGUAACUAUAACGGUCCUAAGGUAGCGAAAUUCCUUGUCGGGUAAGUUCCGACCCGCACGAAAGGCGUAACGAUUUGGGCACUGUCUCAACGAGAGACUCGGUGAAAUCAUAGUACCUGUGAAGAUGCAGGUUACCCGCGACAGGACGGAAAGACCCCGUGGAGCUUUACUGUAGCCUGAUAUUGAAAUUCGGCACAGCUUGUACAGGAUAGGUAGGAGCCUUUGAAACGUGAGCGCUAGCUUACGUGGAGGCGUUGGUGGGAUACUACCCUAGCUGUGUUGGCUUUCUAACCCGCACCACUUAUCGUGGUGGGAGACAGUGUCAGGCGGGCAGUUUGACUGGGGCGGUCGCCUCCUAAAAGGUAACGGAGGCGCUCAAAGGUUCCCUCAGAAUGGUUGGAAAUCAUUCAUAGAGUGUAAAGGCAUAAGGGAGCUUGACUGCGAGACCUACAAGUCGAGCAGGGUCGAAAGACGGACUUAGUGAUCCGGUGGUUCCGCAUGGAAGGGCCAUCGCUCAACGGAUAAAAGCUACCCCGGGGAUAACAGGCUUAUCUCCCCCAAGAGUUCACAUCGACGGGGAGGUUUGGCACCUCGAUGUCGGCUCAUCGCAUCCUGGGGCUGUAGUCGGUCCCAAGGGUUGGGCUGUUCGCCCAUUAAAGCGGUACGCGAGCUGGGUUCAGAACGUCGUGAGACAGUUCGGUCCCUAUCCGUCGUGGGCGUAGGAAAUUUGAGAGGAGCUGUCCUUAGUACGAGAGGACCGGGAUGGACAUACCUCUGGUGUACCAGUUGUCGUGCCAACGGCAUAGCUGGGUAGCUAUGUAUGGACGGGAUAAGUGCUGAAAGCAUCUAAGCAUGAAGCCCCCCUCAAGAUGAGAUUUCCCAACUUCGGUUAUAAGAUCCCUCGAAGAUGACGAGGUUAAUAGGUUCGAGGUGGAAGCGUGGUGACACGUGGAGCUGACGAAUACUAAUCGAUCGAAGACUUAAUC